GGUUGGUCCAAGUGCAGUGGUGUUUACAACUAAUUGAUCACAACCAAUUACACAUUCCUUUAUUCCUUCUCCAGUCCCACUGCUUCACUUGACCAGCCUUAA
rnacentral:Y_RNA from 1 species